UAACGCGUAGGUAACCUACCUCAUAGCGGGGAUAACUAUUGGAAACGAUAGCUAAUACCGCAUAAGAGAGACUAACGCAUGUUAGUAAUUUAAAAGGGGCAAUUGCUCCACUAUGAGAUGGACCUGCGUUGUAUUAGCUAGUUGGUGAGGUAAAGGCUCACCAAGGCGACGAUACAUAGCCGACCUGAGAGGGUGAUCGGCCACACUGGGACUGAGACACGGCCAG
rnacentral:rRNA from 1 species